GCCUAGCCUAAUGUUCUGUGUGUAAUGUAGAGCAUGAUAAUGCCGACACAACCAUGACUGAACAUUAUUUUUUUUUAUUGAUACACAACUUAACAGCCUAUGAUGCAUAUUUUGAAUACUUUCAAAAAAGCACUGCAGUCUUAAAAAUUACAAAAAUGUUUAAAAUACAAAAUGUACAAGAAAUGACAAAAAAAACAAGGCUUGGUAAACAUCAGCUAAACCUGUAUUUCCCUUUUAUCUUACAAAAACGUAUUUAUAUAUUUAUAUAUUUAAAUGUCCCCAACUUUUCUUUUUUUUUUAGGAAUGACAUCCAUUUCAAACAUAUCAAAAAUAGAGUUCUGCAGUCUUUGCUGUUCUUACCAUCGUGUCAAAUGGGAACAAAGGUUCAAUCUUUGGUUGUGACAACAGAGGAGAGCGCGGCAGCAAGCGCUUCCUGUGAAUGCUGGUGUUUGUUAAUAUCAAUAUUGAUUAUUCGUUAAUUCCUGAAGUCUUUCAGAUCACACCACCAGCUCGUAUUCCGAAAAGACACCUUUCUCCACACCACCCCCCCGAACAACAAAUCCCUACAAUUCUUACAAAGUUUCAUAUUAUUACUAUUGAAUGAUUUCUGAGACGGAACUCUGGGAAGGGAAUACAAUACGGACUUCAGGGAACCGGUGUACAAGGAGGAGUUAAGGCAUUCUACCUGACCACGCAGACACACCGUCACUUUAUACUCUCUCUUUUAAAGUGUAUCCUUUACACAUGAGGGAGUUCAUUAGGAAUAUUUACAGUUUUUAUUCGAUGUCAAACAUCCCUGGCUUCUUGUGGUUUUGCAUAGCCUAAAAAAAAAAAAAGAUCAAUGUGCUUGGUUUAAUGUUGCGUUAUUCCUUUCUUUUUUUUCCUUUCAUUUUUUUCAGCACAUUUGGUAUUAAACCAUGCGUGUGCACACACACACAAACACUGCAACAAUCCCUAUGUAGCCAGCAGCUUUCUCCAUCACAAGCCGACCCAAAACGCAUGUUUACAGUCUACAUCUAUAGGCAAUGAGGUCUCCCUCUCCGCUCUCAUGUUAAAGGCAAUAGGUUUUAGUGCAUAGCAGAAUCAUUGUUACCUGGACAUGACCAUAGCAACUAAAGUAAAGUAUCAUAAAUCACAUGCAAGCGUAUUAUAGUUUAAGCAAAGGUUAAGAUAAAAAAAGAAACGUCCAUAUAAUGUAAGGAGUUGUUAGAGGGCUAACAGAGAUGCGAUGGCCAUCUACCGUUUGUCUGCACUUUCUCACCCUGUCUGUAAAACACAUUCAAGAUCCUGACUUCACUCGUCAAUUAUUUGAUUGCCAAUAUACGAUUAAUAUCAGUGGAUUAAUACAUUUAAGUUUUGUAGACAUACCUUUUUGUUUCCCGAAAUUGGGAAUAUUGCGAGGCGAAAUAUCCAAACCGCUCAUCUGUCAUAAUUACAGUAUCUUAUCUUUUGUUUUGGGGUUUGAAGUGUGUGAGAGGUUGUCUCUCUGUUGGGCCAUUCAAAGGAGAAUCUAAACAAACGUUAUAUAUUGAAUACAUAAUUCAGGGCAUAUUAAAAUCCAUUGUGAGAUCAUAUCCCUCAUAAACCAUUCAAUCUAUGGCAGAAACAGCGACACAUGAACUAGAGACUAGAAGGCUCCGGAAGCAUCUACAGUCAGUCCACACUGAGGACUCCACCUUGGCCCCUAGGAGGUCAGGCACCUAGCAUCAAAUGCUUCUGCUGCUGCUAAGUGUUAAUAAGGCAUUUGUUCGCUUAAAAAUGAAGAAAAGUUAUAAAAAUAAAAACAUGUGGGAGGGGAGAGCUUUAAUAAAGGGGGAGGGAGGGAAGGUUGUGUUAAUGUACAGGUAUCUACAUGGAGGGGGAGGAGAGGUCACUAAAAGUAGUGGAAUGUUGUUGUCAUGGGGAUGCUAGUCUAGAGCAGAAAGCCACCCUAGGCCCCGUGCUGCUCAGGCCAUGAGCGGGUUGACGCUUUCGCAGGGGAGAAACAUCAUCAGUGACGCUCACUGAACUCAAAGGGAUUCAGCCAGAUCAUUUGGAAAUCUCACUUCAGUGUCAACGUUUUGUUUUUUAAUGUUUUGCACGCGAGGCCGUAGCUGUGUGCAAUACAUUAGAAACAGAAGCUAUUAUUAAACCAACUGACAUCCACAGGCCUUCGUCAACUGGUUGCCAUCUUGAACUGUCUCUCGCUCUCAACACUAGCAGGGUGACGGACCUGAAUGCAGAACUCUGCAUUGAGUUCCAUCACCCUGCCGUGUUAACCUAGGCCCAUAGAUAAACAUUAAACCUGUCUGACUGCUGAAAGGUCAGUGCUGUUUGUGGUGUUUCUGCCUUGAGUUGUGUGUUUGUGUGUGUAUGUGGCUACUGAAUGACUAGCCAGGCACCAAACCCCCCCCCCACAGAACAGCAACCGAGCACAGGUCACUGGGCUCACAUGGCAACGUUUCAGGUAAUCAGGUAAGCCGUUACAAUUAACCGUUGUUUGGAUGGAUUGGUGCUGUCCCUGGCAUCCAUCCAGGGACAGAACAAAGGGGGGGGGUCUCAGUUCUCAGUUCUGCUGCCCUGUAGACCACCCUGGGCCGAGCGUAUAUUGAGAUUGCAUACAUGGCGAAUAGAGGAAAGGGGGGGGGGGGGGACUUGCAUAAUGUGGUGAUACGGUUAAGGCGCGGGCCUAAGGACGAACCGCGGAGAGAGAGAGAGACAGAGAGGAAGACGGAGACAUAAUCAGAGAUAUAAUACUAUGAACACCCAGUCAGUCAGCCUGCAGCUUCCUCCUCCUCCUCCUCCUCCUCCUCUUCCUCCUUCUC
ensembl:lncRNA